UGGAAGGGUAGCGAAGAGGCUAAACGCGGCGGACUGUAAAUCCGCUCCUUCGGGUUCGGGGGUUCGAAUCCCUCUCUCUCCAU
rnacentral:tRNA from 1 species